CACAGUAUCUUUAUUUAUUUUUAUGUGGUGCUGAGGAUUGAACUCAGUGCCUCACGCAUGUGAGGCAAGUGCUUUUCCACUGAGCUACAGCCUCAGCCCUGGAAAUUUAGACUUUUAAAUUAUGUUAUUUAAUUAUUUAUUUUGAUGCUAGGGAUUAAAUCCAGGGGUAUUGUACCACAUAGAGUGUCCCAGUCUGUUUUAUUUAUUUAUUUUUUUUAAGACAGAGUCUCAUUAAGUUACUGAAGCUGGCCUUGAACUUGCAAUCCCCUUUCUGAGUCUCCCAAAUCAUGGCGCCUGAUUAACUUGUAUCCAUUAGAGAUAGAAAAUAAGUAAGCAUCUGGUUAUGGUGGUGUAUGCCUGUAAUCCCAGCUAUUCUGGAGAUUGAGGCAAGAGAAUUGAAAGUUCAAGGCCCACCUGGGCAAUUUAGCUAGACCCUGUCUUAAAAAAUAGAAAAGGCUGGGGAUGUGACUCAACAGUAGAGGACCCCUGGGUUCAAUCCCCUGUACCGCACAAAAAAAGAAAAGAAAAAUAUAAGUAACCAAAAGUUCUGAAUUUUAUUUAUUGGACUUCUUUUGAUCUCAU
rnacentral:lncRNA from 1 species